rnacentral:rRNA from 1 species
AACGAACGCUGGCGGCAUGCCUAACACAUGCAAGUCGAACGAGACCUUCGGGUCUAGUCGCGCUCGGGUGCGUUACGCGUGGGAACCUGCCCUUGGGUUCGGUAUACCUCCCCGAAAGGGGUGCUAAUACCGGAUAAUGUCUUCUGACCAAAGAUUCAUCGCCUUUGGAUGGGUCCGCGUUGGAUUAGCUAGUUGGUAGGUUAAAAGCAUACCCAGGCGACGAACCAUAGCUGGUCGGGGAAGAGGAUCAGCCACACUGGGAAUGAGACACGGCCCAGACUGGGAGGGAGGGGUGAGGUAGAUAGUAUUGUGGAAUGGGCGAAGACCUGAGACAGCAACGUGGGGGGAGAGAUGAAGGGCUUAGGGUUGUAAAGCUAUUUUAGAAGAGAUGAAAGUGACAGUACCGGGAGAAUAAGCACCGGCUAACUACGUG